rnacentral:rRNA from 1 species
ACCUGCCCAUUGGAAUCUAAAAGGCCGCGGUAUUAUGACCGUGCUAAGGUAGCAUAAUCAUUAGUCUUUUAAUUGGAGGCUGGUAUGAAUGGUUGGACAAGAAAUAAGCUGUCUUAAAUAAAAAUAUUGAAUUUAACUUUUAAGUGAAAAGGCUUAAAUUUUCUAAGGGGACGAUAAGACCCUAUAAAACUUUAUAUUUUAAAAUAAUAAUUAAUUUUUAUAUAGAAGAUUUAUUUUUAAAUAUUUUAUUGGGGGGAUAAAGAUAAAAUGUGAGAUAACUGUCUUUUUUUUUUUUACAAUUAAUAUUUGAGUAAAAGAUCUUAACAAAGGAAAUAAGAGAUUAAGUUACUUUAGGGAUAACAGCGUAAUUUUCUUUAAGAGUUCUUAUCGACAAGAAAGUUUGCGACCUCGAUGUUGAAUUAAAAGUUCUUUAUAGAGUAGAUAUUAUAAUAGAGGGUCUGUUCGACCCUUAAAAUUUUACGUG